rnacentral:rRNA from 1 species
GACCUCUAAUCGGAAAAGACUACCCGCUGAGUUUAAGCAUAUCACUAAGCGGAGGAGAAGAAACGAAC